GAUGAACGCUGGCGGCGUGCCUAAUACAUGCAAGUCGAGCGAACAGAUGAGUAGCUUGCUCCUCUGACGUUAGCGGCGGACGGGUGAGUAACACGUGGAUAACCUACCUAUAAGACUGGGAUAACUUCGGGAAACCGGAGCUAAUACCGGAUAAUAUAUUGAACCGCAUGGUUCAAUAGUGAAAGACGGUUUUGCUGUCACUUAUAGAUGGAUCCGCGCCGCAUUAGCUAGUUGGUAAGGUAACGGCUUACCAAGGCAACGAUGCGUAGCCGACCUGAGAGGGUGAUCGGCCACACUGGAACUGAGACACGGUCCAGACUCCUACGGGAGGCAGCAGUAGGGAAUCUUCCGCAAUGGGCGAAAGCCUGACGGAGCAACGCCGCGUGAGUGAUGAAGGUCUUCGGAUCGUAAAACUCUGUUAUUAGGGAAGAACAAAUGUGUAAGUAACUAUGUACGUCUUGACGGUACCUAAUCAGAAAGCCACGGCUAACUACGUG
rnacentral:rRNA from 1 species